rfam:Pteropus alecto contig89127, whole genome shotgun sequence.
GUCUACGGCCAUGCCACCCUGAAUGUGCCCGAUCUCAUCUGAUCUUGAAAGCUAAGCAGGGUUGGUUGGGCCUGGUAAGAACUUGGAUGGGAGACCACCUUGGAAUACCAGGUGCUGUAGGCA